CCUACGGGAGGCAGCAGUGGGGAAUAUUGCGCAAUGGGCGAAAGCCUGACGCAGCGACGCCGCGUGAGGGAUGAAGGUCUUCGGAUCGUAAACCUCUGUCAGUAGGGAAGUACGGUCACUGUUCUAAUCAGCAGUGAAUUUACGUUACGUGCAAGGGAAGCAUCGGCUAACGCCGUGCCAGCAGCCGCGGUAAUACGGAGGGUGCGAGCGUUAAUCGGAAUUACUGGGGGUAAAGGGAGCGCAGGCGGUUGAGUAGGUCAGAUGUGAAAUCCCGGAGCUUAACACUGGAAUGGCAUAUGUGACUGGUCGCCUAGAGUGUGUCAGAGGGAGGUGGAAUUCGACGUGUAGCAGUGAAAUGCGUAGAUAUGUGGAAGAACACCGAUGGCGAAGGCAGCCUCCUGGGACAUAACUGACGCUCAGGCACGAAAGCGUGGGGAGCAAACAGGAUUAGAUACCCUAGUAGUC
rnacentral:rRNA from 1 species